UACGUAGGUGGCAAGCGUUGUCCGGAUUUAUUGGGCGUAAAGGGCGCGCAGGCGGUUCGUUAGGUCCGAGGUGAAAUCUCCCGGCUUAACCGGGAGGGUGCGCCGGAAACUGAGUUGCUUGAGUGCCGGAGAGGCAGGCGGAAUUCCUGGUGUAGCGGUGAAAUGCGUAGAUAUCAGGAGGAACACCCGUGGUGUAGACGGCCUGCUGGACGGCAACUGACGCUGAGGCACGAAAGCGUGGGGAGCAAACAGG
rnacentral:rRNA from 1 species